rnacentral:rRNA from 1 species
UACAGAGGGUGCGAGCGUUAAUCGGAAUUACUGGGCGUAAAGCGUGCGUAGACGGUUAUGUAAGUCGGGUGUGAAAGCCCCGGGCUCAACCUGGGAAUUGCAUUCGAGACUGCAUAGCUAGGAUGCGGAAGAGGGAAGUGGAAUUUCCGGUGUAGCGGUGAAAUGCGUAGAUAUCGGAAGGAACAUCAGUGGCGAAAGCGGGUCUCUGGGCAGUAACUGACGCUGAGGAGCGAAAGCGUGGGGAGCGAACAGG